AACGAACGCUGGCGGCAUGCCUUACACAUGCAAGUCGAACGGCAGCACGGGAGCAAUCCUGGUGGCGAGUGGCGAACGGGUGAGUAAAGUAUCGGAACGUGCCCAGUCGUGGGGGAUAACGUAGCGAAAGUCACGCUAAUACCGCAUACGAUCUAUGGAUGAAAGCGGGGGAUCGCAAGACCUCGCGCGAUUGGAGCGGCCGAUAUCAGAUUAGGUAGUUGGUGGGGUAAAGGCUCACCAAGCCGACGAUCUGUAGCUGGUCUGAGAGGACGACCAGCCACACUGGGACUGAGACACGGCCCAGACUCCUACGGGAGGCAGCAGUGGGGAAUUUUGGACAAUGGGCGAAAGCCUGAUCCAGCCAUGCCGCGUGCAGGAUGAAGGCCUUCGGGUUGUAAACUGCUUUUGUACGGAACGAAAAGGUUUGGCCUAAUAAGCUGAGCUCAUGACGGUACCGUAAGAAUAAGCACCGGCUAACUACGUGCCAGCCGCCGCAGUAACAC
rnacentral:rRNA from 1 species